AAUUAAAGAAAAAAAAAACUUAACAAUCAAGACCUUUCGUUGUCGAUCUUCCUCUGCUCACAUCCAGUAGACUCCAACACUGAAAACUUAACUGAGUUGUAACGCUUUCGUCGUCAUUGAAACCUUCUCAUAAAGUUUGGCCAUUACUCUCUCAUUCAAGCUUUCUCCCACGAUGUUGAUUUUAAUACCCCUUUCUUUCAUAACGUCCAUCGCCAACCCCUAAUUUCGAUGAAGGGAUGAAGAAAACUCGAACUCUCCUUACUUCACCAGAUUCAACCCUUCUUCUUCCUUACACACACAGAAAGUAAGAAUGGUUUCAUCUCAUAUUUUUCUUUUUAAUUUGAAUCCCGGUUGUUGCUCUCUAACAGUGGUGAUGUGUCUUCUGCAUUUCUGGGAAGCACAAAGUGUUAAGAAAAAAGGCAAGCUGAUGGGAGUUCACAUGCUUCUGCUUAAUGAGAAGAUUUGGCUCCUCUUUUUACCUUGACUUUGUAGUAACAAGAUUCGACAGAUCUGCACUUUCUCCUUUUCCCUUUAGGCUAUGAGUUUUUGAGCUAUGCAUCGUGGUUUAGAUUUCUAUUUCUUAUUUGUUUUCAACUGUUUAAGAAUCUCUCAAAAUUCAUUCCGCAAAGUCAAAAACUUUCUCCAGAUUUUCAGCUGAGGCCUUGCAACAACUUAAUCCUACAUUGAAGAGACUCUCAAGAGGCCCUUGCUGCUUAAAAAGCUUCUUGAAUAGGUCUUUGAUGCUCUCAAUGUUGACCUGGUUUUAACCGUUCAUUCUACUCAAUCCAAUCAUUGGCCUUUGCUCCAAAAGUUUGGGAGGUCUGUAGACCUUUUUCUGAAUGUCUAUGCUUCAUAAAUGAUGUGUUUUUUCAAUGUUAUCAGGAUAUGUGAUUGUUUUACAUAGUUAUAUGUAAAGAACUUUACUCCUAAUGAUAAAAAGAACUCAAUGAAGCUCUGCAACAAGAGAUUCAAGAUGCUUUUCUCAAGGAUGAAAGCUGAAGAAUUCCAAUUUCCACCUACACCACAAGAUGAAAUGAGUGCGGGUAUGAGCUACUUCCAUGAAACAAGCUGGAAGGAAGUUCUGAAAUUCUUGAGACGUGAUUACACGGCUCUGAAGAACAUUUGAAUCAACGAGAUUUUUCUUCUUGCAUGGGUGGAGACCAUGAUGGUUCACUCUUAUUUCUUUCUUUUCUUAGAUCAUGAAAAGACAGAAUUGUUUUAACUGUUCACAUUUUUGAAUCCAUGAAACCCCCAGGUAAAUGAAGUUACAAAAAAUAUAUGCUUACGAGCCUGGUUCGAGGUGGGGGAAUCGGUUCACUAACGGUUCUGUAUAUAAAUGGCAAAUUGAUUAAAGGGGUGUUAGUGGGAUAUGGAUUUGUAGUGAUUGUUAAAAUUCUCAAAUUCUAUUGUUAUUGGUUGGUGGAUUCUAAGAUUCUUACUAAAAUCUAGUGUUAUUGGUUUGAUGAUU